rnacentral:rRNA from 1 species
AGCGAACGCUGGCGGCGUGCCUAAUACAUGCAAGUCGAACGCGCAGCGAAAGGUGCUUGCACCUUUCAAGCGAGUGGCGAACGGGUGAGUAACACGUGGAUAACCUGCCUCAAGGCUGGGGAUAACAUUUGGAAACAGAUGCUAAUACCGAAUAAAACUUAGUAUCGCAUGAUACAAAGUUAAAAGGCGCUACGGCGUCACCUAGAGAUGGAUCCGCGGUGCAUUAGUUAGUUGGUGGGGUAAAGGCUUACCAAGACGAUGAUGCAUAGCCGAGUUGAGAGCCUGAUCGGCCACAUUGGGACUGAGAGACGGCCCAAACUCCUACGGGAGGCUGCAGUAGGGAAUCUUCCACAAUGGGCGCAAGCCUGAUGGAGCAACGCCGCGUGUGUGAUGAAGGCUUUCGGGUCGUAAAGCACUGUUGUAUGGGAAGAAAUGCUAAAAUAGGGAAUGAUUUUAGUUUGACGGUACCAUACCAGAAAGGGACGGCUAAAUACGUGCCAGCAGCCGCCGUAAAAC